rnacentral:rRNA from 1 species
CCUACGGGAGGCAGCAGUAGGGAAUCUUCCACAAUGGACGAAAGUCUGAUGGAGCAACGCCGCGUGAGUGAAGAAGGGUUUCGGCUCGUAAAGCUCUGUUGGUAGUGAAGAAAGAUAGAGGUAGUAACUGGCCUUUAUUUGACGGUAAUUACUUAGAAAGUCACGGCUAACUACGUGCCAGCAGCCGCGGUAAUACGUAGGUGGCAAGCGUUGUCCGGAUUUAUUGGGCGUAAAGCGAGUGCAGGCGGUUCAAUAAGUCUGAUGUGAAAGCCUUCGGCUCAACUGGAGAAUUGCAUCAGAAACUGUUGAACUGGAGUGCAGAAGAGGAGAGUGGAACUCCAUGUGUAGCGGUGGAAUGCGUAGAUAUAUGGAAGAACACCAGUGGCGAAGGCGGCUCUCUGGUCUGUAACUGACGCUGAGGCUCGAAAGCAUGGGUAGCGAACAGGAUUAGAUACCCCGGUAGUC